rnacentral:lncRNA from 1 species
AAAACUGUGAUCUUGCUCUCUCUAGAUAUUCCCAAAUCCGACCCUCUAUUACUUACUGGAUUACAUCCUAAGCACAUCCCACACCCUCUUUUUUACAUAUCGACUGACUUGACCAUCGGAAUGUUUGUGGUUGCCUUCCCCCACUUCGGAGAAGCCCUAUGCAACUUAUGGUUUGUCCAAAUGUGUAGGACAUGAAGCUUAUUUGGACGUGAUUUGCCAGGUAAACCUUAUAAAAAAAAGAGGUCAACAGGAAGUUUAUUACAACUAAAAUUAAACAUUAGUAUAUACUGUGUGAGCAACAGUU